rnacentral:rRNA from 1 species
UACGAAGGGGGCUAGCGUUGCUCGGAAUCACUGGGCGUAAAGCGCACGUAGGCGGAUUGUUAAGUCAGGGGUGAAAUCCUGGAGCUCAACUCCAGAACUGCCUUUGAUACUGAAGAUCUUGAGUUCGGGAGAGGUGAGUGGAACUGCGAGUGUAGAGGUGAAAUUCGUAGAUAUUCGCAAGAACACCAGUGGCGAAGGGCGGCUCACUGGCCCGAUACUGACGCUGAGGCACGAAGGCCA